rnacentral:rRNA from 1 species
AUGGCGUCGACGGCGUCGGCGCGGUCGAUGCGGCCCCACCCGCCGCUGGUCUGCCACAUGCCGUUGAGCACCCGGCAGAUGGCCAGCGACGAGUCGGUCCCGCCGCGGCUGCUGGCGAGCGUCGCCGCCCUCGCGCCCGGGGACGCCGACUCCACCGCCGGGCCCACGAACCCCGCGCACCUCGCGGGCCGCACGCGGCGCGGGGAAGGGGGCGCCGGCGAGAGCGCGCGGGCUGCUGACGACGACAUGGCUGGCACGGGCACGGGCACGAGCCAGCGUUGGCGCGCGCGCGAGAGAGAUAAGGCGCUCGUGGCUUCAGACUUCAGUACAAAGAAAGAAAUUAACUUGUGUAAAUUACUCUUAGUGACUUGGUCUGAAAAAAUUACUGUACUUAGUGACUAA